rnacentral:lncRNA from 1 species
GUGGAGCCAGGCUCCACCCCUCUUAGGCUUCAUUUAAGGGCUGACUGCCCCUAAGGAAGGAUUUCUUCCUGGAGAUCCCUUCUUGGUGGGAGCAUUUCCCUGCGAGCCCAAAAUCUUCCAAUCCAGGUGAGCGCUGUAUUUUCCUUCCACGUAUUUGUAACACUAUUUCCAUUGCGUUAGUCCUUCUGAUUGCUACAGAAUAACAGCCAAAAAAUGUUAUACAGUGAUGAUGCUGACUGAGGAGUUCAGAUUUGAUGAAAACCAGAAUUCUCUUGCUUCAAAAAUGCAGAAGGGGAAGACAGUUCGAUUUGCACAGAGAUUGAGAUCCCUGCGAGUAACUGGAAGCAGACACAUUGUGGGAGAACUUCACAGAGGCAAGAACUGGAAAUAA